ACACGCUUCUUCUUCUUCAUCUUCUUCUCUUGUUUUGUUUUUUGUUUUGUACUACUACUCGUAAUUGUACGAUGCAAAGAGAAGAAGGAGAGACAGGAUGUAAAAAUACAAGAAGAGGAGUAA
rnacentral:ribozyme from 1 species